rnacentral:misc_RNA from 1 species
UCUGUCAACCGAUAAGGUUUUGUAAUCCAUAAGUUCUAAACUAUAAUCUGUAAUUACAGUAUCUAAUCCAAUGAACAUGUGGAUUACAAAACCUUAUCGGUUGACAGAAAACUAUAGACAAUCAAAUCCCGAACUUGACCUUUACAAUAUAAAUAUUUCCUCAACACACCUUCUUUCAGAAACCCUACUUUCUCGACUACCCUUUGAGAUCCCUUGUUCUCUUCCAGCACAAAAACCUCAAGCCUUACCAAGUCAGGAAAAUCUUGAAACACACUAGACAGAGCCAUCUUCACUGCAAUUGUGGUUAUCCCUUGUCCCCAAUACUCUGCAGCUAUCGCAUAUCCCAUGUUUCCUCUACAUCUAUCAUCACCUGACAAUUGCCGGACGGAAAUGUACCCAAUUGAACGAUCAUCCAAGCAUAUAGACCGAUGCCAUGGAUGGGCUAUGGCAACCUUUGCAAUAUGCUCUGCUGCUUCUUCCCUAGAGGUAAUGGGAUUCCUUCUCAUAUAACGGGUUACUUUCUCAUCACCAGCCCAUUUCAGGAAGUCAUCAACAUCAGAAAGCUUGAAGGGACGGAGGGAAAUUCUUGAUGGAUCCAUAAAAAAAUGCAGUCAACUAACUUUCCAAAGGGCAGAAUGUUUAAGGCUUCAAGCAUACUUCAAUGAUCAUUAUGCGUGAUCAGGUGCAAGGAAGUUGCCUAAAAUAGCAGACGAUAGACAGUGGAACCAAGGGCGGACGCAAGGCUAAACAUUCGGAGGG